rnacentral:rRNA from 1 species
AGCGAACGCUGGCGGCAUGCCUAACACAUGCAAGUCGCACGGGUCGGCUUCGGCCGGUCAGUGGCGGACGGGUGAGGAACGCGUAGGGAGCUGUCCUCUGGUGGGGGAUAACCGCGGGAAACUGCGGCUAAGACCGCAUGGGGCGCCGGUGUGAGAGCCGGUGUCAAAGGCGCGCAUCGCGAGGUGUGUGUCGCCGGGGGGUGAGCCUGCGUCCGAUUAGCUGGUGGGGGGGGGAGUGGCCCACCAAGGCGUGGAUCGGUAGAUGGUAUGAGAGGGGGGUCCGACACUCUGACGCUGAGCCACGGCCCGGAAUCUUGCGGGAGGCAGCAGUGGGGAAUCUUGGCCAAUGGGCGCAAGCAUGAUGCCGCACUGGCGCGUGGGUGAAGAAGGUCUUCGGAUUGUACAGCCCUUUCGGCGGGGGCGAUGGUGACGGUACCCGAAGAAGAAGCCCCGGCUAACUUCGUG